CGCCGGGCCAACUUGUUGCAAAACCAACCUUCGGUGCAAAAUAUCCAGUAACAGAUCGGCUUCUUCUAUAAGAGCAUCCACAUCAUCCUCGUUGUUACCACUACGCCAUUCCAAGAAGUCGAGUCUAGGACAAUUUGCCCAAACAGAGUUCCACCUUUUGGAUAGCACAGCUGCAUCUUUGUUGUUAAGAAAGGAUAAUAUGUGAUGCAGUAUAUCAUCAUGUAAUUCACUGAUCAAAUCGGGUUCCCUGGGUUUUAUUUUUACUCUAAAUUUCUUCACUGGGGGUUCCAUGGUUUUGCAGCGAUGGAAAAUGAUGAGGAUGUGAAAAUUAUUUUUGUUGCAGAGAUGAUUAUAAAGGUAUACAUUGAUUCGAAUAUAGAAGUGGUAGCUAUAUGGAAUGCUUUCCUAAUUCAAUUCAGGGUGCAGCUUCUAAUUCUAAGACUACCCGUGUUUCUAAAACUCAGACUUUCCUAAACUCAACUUCUAGGAGUUUUCAUGCGGGUGAUUUCUUUUGUGGGUCUUGAUUGAUUUUCUUGCUGGUUUUGAUCCCAAUUAAAAUUCUGGUUUUCAUUUGUUUCAUGGAUUAUGCUCGUUGCAUGUUUGUUGAAAUGUCUAUACGAAAACGGUUAGGAUUUUCAUUUGCUUUUAGCUUUAGGUAGCUACCAGUAUCAAGUGCUGCUGUAUGUGAUUGCUUAUUCUUGUCAAAUUGGGUCUUCAAGUUUUGGCCCUUCCAUGGAAUUGGUGGAAGAACUUAGAGCAAGCCAAGCAGUGGAGUCUCUGGAGCUUACUUUCACAUUUGUAUUGCACAUUGAUGUUUUGUUGCGGAUAUUAGGGAUUCUCAGAGUAUUCUACCAAGGAGCUGCUUAUUCUUACUAGUGUCCAGUGAUGUGCCUUUGGGAGUUGGAGGUCAUAAUACUUAAAGGUAUCUUUGGGAGCGAAACGUCAGGGAUGCUGAGAGUAUUAUCUUGAAGGUUUUUCUGAGAGCAACAUUCUCCUAUGAAAUUGGUGGAAGAACUUAGAGCAAAGAGCGCGGUCAAGCAGGUGAUCUCGGUGCCUUUAGCUAGGACAGAGCUUCUUUACAGCAUAGCAGCUUGUACGUAUGGGGAAUUUAUCAUGGCAUAAGACAAAGAAAUUUGGAGGAGCUGACAAUGUUUUCGCAGCGGAUAUUAGAGAUGCUGAGAGGAUGUACCUGCAAUUCAAAGAGAUGAUGCUCUUUUAGUUCUUACUAGUGCUGUGCCCAAAAUGAAACCUGGGUUUGAUCCUACUAGUUAUAACUGGGGAAGACCUGAGUUCCUUUUCUGAAGACGGGGCCAUUCCUGAACAGGUAAUUGCAAUUUGUUCUCUUAAAUUUCUUUCGUAUUGAAGAUAUAAAUGGCGCUUGUAGGUUGAUUGGAUCGAGCAGAAGAAUCAAAUAGAUGCUGCCAAAGCUGGAGGAGUGAUGCAGAUUGUUUUGGUUUGGUCUAUGGGUGCAACAAACCUCAAUCAUCCCUUGAACAGCAUUGAAUACGGAAACAUAUUGGUGAUACUUCAUUGCUGAUUAUUUUCCCUUGCAGUCGGAGGUCAUAAUACUACAAGGUGUCUUUGGGAGCGAAACGUCAAGGUUUGACGGGGUUGUUUACUUUGUAUGAUCAGACUUAUUGCAAUGCCGGUAUGGAAGAGGAACACGGAGCAAUACCUGGCUGACUUUGGUAUACCAACACACAAUUAUUAGAUGCAGGUCUCAUAGUGUUCUUGCUCCGUUAAAGCGUUUGGAAACUUCGCUUCAGCCCUGAAGAUUGGAGAUUUGCUGCGAAGCAAUUUUUGAAAAGAUAUCCCAAGGAGUUUCUGGUGCAUUGUGCGUAUUGUUUUCUUAGUCUUCCAACCUCCUUAUUUGUUCUUUUAAGAUAUCCAACUUCUUCGAAUGCAUAUGAUCCCGAUGUUUGGGCACCACCGAAUCGAGGAGAUAAUGGAAAUAGAACUAGAAAGAAAGCUGCUGAUUCUAGCAAAUCCAAAGAGUGAAUCAGCGCAAAGUGUUGAUUUCAAAAACUGAUGAGGAGUGGUAGUGCAAAAUAAAUUUAGGUUACAAACUUAUUCCGCGUACACACAUUAUAGACCGCCCUUCAGAAUCAGCUAGCUAUUGGCUCUUCAUUCCUACUUUCCAUAUCAGUCACAUAUCUCAUGUGUAGAUAUGAAUCAACAAUUGCUUUGCUUUAGCUCAGUCUUCUCCUCGGUCCUGGUGCCAUUAUAAUGCCCAACAUUUGGUCCUCUGGACUGUAGUCAUUCUCAAACUAUAUUCUCAGACCGUUGAAUCUGAAGAGAAGAAGAGGCCAGAGUAUGAAGGACCUGAUCCUGAAUUGGCGGCGAUGCUUGAGAGAGAUGUCUUGGAGACCAGCCCUGGAGUUACAUGGGAUGAUGUUGCUGGAAUUAAAGACGCCAAAAGACUUUUGGAGGAAUCUGUUGUUCUUCCUCUAUGGAUGCCAGAGUAUUUCCAGGGAAUUAGAAGGCCAUGGAAAGGUGUGCUUAUGUUUGGUCCGCCUGGUACUGGGAGGACACAGUCUUGGCUAAGGCAGUUGCAACAGAGUGCGGCACAACAUUUUUCAAUGUUUCCUCUGCUACUUUAGCUUCAAAAUGUAGUGGGCAGAGUGAACGUACGGUUCGGAGAUGUUUUGAUCUGGCCAGAUCUUACGCACCAAGCACAAUCUUCAUUGACGAGAUUGAUUCUCUUUGCAAUUCCAGAGGGGCGUCAGGGGAGCAUGAAUCUUCGAGAAGGGUGAAGUCGGAACUUCUUGUACAGGUAGAUGGAAGUCAAUGCAAGCACUCCUGGCGAUGAUGGUGCACGCAAAAUAGUGAUGGUCUUGGCAUUGCCUGACAGGGAUGG